AUACGUAGGGGGCAAGCGUUAUCCGGAAUUAUUGGGCGUAAAGAGUGCGUAGGUGGUUACCUAAGCGCAAGGUUUAAUAUAUCGGCUUAACUGAUAUUUGCCUUGCGAACUGGGCUACUUGAGUGCAGGAGGGGAAAGCGGAAUUCCUAGUGUAGCGGGGAAAUGCGUAGAUAUUAGGAGGAACACCGGCGGCGAAGGCGGCUUUCUGGACUGUAACUGACACUGAGGCACGAAAGCGUGGGGAGCAAACAGGAUUAGAUACCCUGGUAGUCCACGCCGUAAACGAUGAGCACUAGCUGUUGGGGCCGAAUGGUCUCAGUGGCGCAGUUAACGCAAUAAGUGCUCCGCCUGGGGAGUACGCGCGCAAGCGUAAAACUCAAAGGAAUUGACGGGG
rnacentral:rRNA from 1 species